rnacentral:lncRNA from 1 species
UGUGGGACCGUUUCCGGGAGCCUUAAAGGGGCCGCGCCUCCGCGAUGGAUGCGGGAGCGGGGCCGACUGGCCCCCCGGGUGUUCCGCAAGCUCAUCCAACUUCCUUCUGCCUGAAUUACCAACUUCCAGGAAAAGGAGACACCGUCCUCACUCCCUGGCCUCUACCUCUUUCUUCAAGCUGUUUCCGCCUCCAGCCCCUCAUUCCUGGUUUCUAUCAGUAGAUGCCAAGCACUGGGCACUGACGCCUGGAAGCCUGGCGUGGUUCGAGCCCCCUCGUGCCAAUGAAACCUUAGAGUUCGCUUUAGAAGCUUCAGAUGUUCUACCGGCCGUGGGCGGUGGCUCACACUUGUAAUCCCAGCACCUUGGGAGGCCGAGGCGGGCGGAUCACCUGAGGUCAGAAGUUCGAGAUCAGUCUGGCCAACAUUGUGAAAUCCCGUCUCUACAAAAAAAAUUAGCCGGUUGUGGUGGCGCGCGCCUGUAAUCCCAGCAACUCGGGAGGCUGAAGCAGGAGAAUCGCUUGAACCGGGGAGGCAGAGGUUGCAGUGAGCCGAGAUCAUGCCACCGCACUGCAGCCUAGACGACAGAGCAGACCCCUUCUCGAAAAUAAAAUAAAAUGCUGGGCGCAGUG